UUUUAAAUAAACUUCGUUUGUUUGCAGUGCAAACAACAUACUAUUAAGUUAACUAGCUUUAUGUAAAAUAAAUAUUGAUUUGUAUAUUUAAAAUAAAUAUUGUUGUGCAUUUUAAAUGUGUGCUUUUGUAUUUCUCUUUAUCAAAAAGUCUUCCAAACAAUAUAUUUGUAUCAAAAACUCAACUGUUCUUCGUAAUUAUCACCCACCAGAAAAGCAACAUCCAUGUCCUAAUCAAGUACAUGUGUCACACUUAUCGUGUAUGUCACUGUCCGUAGGCCAGUCUUCAGUGGAUAAACUAUUUUUCUUAUUUUAUGGUCUUCACUCUCUAGAAAAUAAAUCAAAUUGCAAAGAGAGGAAGAAGUUAAGAAAUCUUGAUUAUUGAAAUGGAGAAACGUAACAAGACACGAGUGAUUCUCUUCCCUCUACCAUUACAAGGAUGCAUAAACCCUAUGCUUCAGCUAGCAAAGAUCCUAUUCUCGAGAGGCUUCUCAAUCACGAUCAUCCACACGCUCUUCAACGCGCCUAAAUCUUCAGACCACCCUCUCUUCACUUUCCUACAGAUCCCCGACGGUUUGUCCGAAUCUCAGACGCAGUCUCGCGAUGUCCUGCUUCAGCUCACGCUCCUCAACAACAACUGCGAGAACCCGUUACGUGAGUGUUUGACUAAACUCAUCAAAGGUUCAGGAACAGAGGAAGGUGGUGAGAUCAGCUGUUUGAUCGAUGACUCCGGGUGGGUUUUCACGCAGUCCGUCGCGGAUAGUUUCAAUCUCCCGAGAUUCGUCCUCUGUGCGUAUAAGUUCACGUUCUUUCUCCGACAUCUGCUUGUCCCUCAGCUUCGCCGUGAAGGGUUUCUUCCGUUUCCAGAUUCCGAAGCAGAGGACUCUGUUCCGACGUUUCAACCGCUUCGAAAGAAAGAUCUCGCGAGAAUCAUGGGAAACAAAGAUCAGGCUGAGCCGCUGGAUGAUUACUUGUUCAAGAUACUCGAGACGACGAAGCCAGCUUCGGGGCUCAUAGUCAUGUCCUGCGAAGAGCUCGACAGAGAUUCGCUUUCCGAGUCCCACAAAGUCUUCACCUUUCCUAUAUACCCUAUUGGCCCACCUCACAUCCAUGACGUCCCAGCUUCGUCUAGCAGCUUGUUCGAACCGGACCAGAGCUGCAUUCCUUGGUUAAAUACGCGCGAAACGAGAUCAGUUAUCUACGUGAGCUUAGGGAGUAUAGUGACAAUCACCGAGUCUCAGUUCUUGGAGAUUGCUUGCGGCUUAAGGCAAACCAACCUAUCUUUCUUGUGGGUUGUUAGGCCUGGUUCGGUCCAGGGCAGAGACUGGAUCGAGUCAUUACCAUCAGGGUUCAUGGACGGGAAGGGAAAGAUAGUGAAAUGGGCACCGCAGCUAGAUGUUCUCGCGCAUAGAGCUACGGGUGGGUUUUUGACUCAUAAUGGAUGGAACUCGACGCUAGAGAGUAUAUGCGAAGGUGUUCCUAUGAUCAGCUUGCCUUUUGUGUGGGACCAGUUACUUAACGCGAGGUUCGUUAGCGAUGUGUGGAGGAUAGGGAUUCACUUGGAAGGUCGCAUAGAGAGAAGAGAAAUCGAGAGAGCUGUGACAAGACUAAUGGUUGAACCUGAAGGAGAAGAGAUUCGAGAGAGAGUUAAUGUGUUGCGAGAUGAAGUAAGAAGAUCUGUUCAACGAGGAGGCUCGUCAUCUCGGUAUCUAGAUGAGCUGGUUGAUCGUAUUACAUCAUUUUAGCUUCGUAGUUUAAAAGAGUUCGUUCAACUGGGAAUGAUCAUGUCCAUUGUGCUUCCUGUUUGAAUAACUGUUGAGACAAAUCUAAAAUUAUAUGUUGUGGUUUGGAGAAUUAUUGGAUUGGGCCUCGAACCUCCCAAAAAAAUAUAUAUAAAAAAUAGUGUGAUAUGUUCUAAAUGACUCUUGAACCUGCUUAAAGGACUA